rnacentral:rRNA from 1 species
GAUGAACGCUGGCGGCGUGCCUAAUACAUGCCAGUCGAGCGAACAGAUAAGGAGCUUUCUCCUUUGACGUUAGCGGCGGACGGGUGAGUAACACUUGGGUAACCUACCUAUAAGACUGGAAUAACUCCGGGAAACCGGGGCUAAUGCCGGAUAACAUUUAGAACCUCAUGCUUCUAAAGUGAAAUAUGGUUUUGCUAUCACUUAUAGAUGAACCCGCGCCGUAUUAGCUAGUUGGGAAGGUAACUGCUUACCAAGGCAACGAUACGUACCCGACCUGAAAGGGACAUCGACCAGACGGGAAGUGAGAAAGGCCCGAGACACCGACGGGAGGACGCAGUAGGGAAUCUUACGCAAGGGGGGAAAGCCUGAUGGAGCAAAGCGGCGGGAGUGCUGAAGGUCUUAGGAUCGUAAAACGAUGUUAUUAGGAAAGAAGAAAUAUGUAUGUAACUGUGCAGGUAUUGACGGUACCUAAUGAAAAAGCCACGGCUAACUACGUG